rnacentral:rRNA from 1 species
UACGUAGGGUGCAAGCGUUGUCCGGAAUUAUUGGGCGUAAAGAGCUCGUAGGCGGUUUGUCGCGUCUGCUGUGAAAACUCGGGGCUUAACCCCGGGCCUGCAGUGGGUACGGGCAGACUAGAGUGCGGUAGGGGAGACUGGAAUUCCUGGUGUAGCGGUGGAAUGCGCAGAUAUCAGGAGGAACACCAGCGGCGAAGGCGGCGCUCUGGGCCGGAACUGACGCUGAGGAGCGAAAGCGUGGGUAGCAAACAGG